GGCCUGCCCUAAACAUGGUCUACAUAGCCAAGCUUGUAGAAAUCAGCCUGACAAGAAGCAAGCGCCACUUCGUGAUCAACUUUCUCAUUCUCAGCUGCACAUUCUCCUCAAUAAGCCCAGUGUGAGCACCUUGUAGCGCAUCCAGUUCCUUUUUCAAGUUCUCGCUAACAUACAGUGCACCUUACAGAUCCACCUCCUUGGACUCAAGCUUACUGGCAACCUCCUUCAGACAAGACACUUCAGCAUGCAUGAAGAUAAGCUCUUUUUCCUUGGCAAAUCAAGCAGAUCAUAGCUCUGAAUUGACACGAUCAAGGCCAUCGACCAUCGGAGAAACACGAUUGACUUCAUUUUCUACAGCUUUCAACAUCGCCCGAGUCACACUAAGCUUAGCAUUGAAAUGGGUGACCUCCUAAUGAGCGAUCUCCAGCUGCAAAGAAGUGGGGGCAGAGACAUCAGACCCUUUCAAAAUGGCGAGUUCAGAUUCGAGUUUCUUGAUCUUUUAAACAGCCAAGCGAAGCUAAGCCACCAAUGCCACUUCGGUCUCCUUAGCACACUUAAUAGCAUCCUGAUCAACACACAUAGACUCAGCUGCCAGGAUUAAAGUCUUAUGCAUUGUAGCAAUCAAGGAGAACCUUCUCGAGUAGGUAGGAUGCUUCGCAAAGAAGUCUAAGCGGAUGACAACUUUCCCAACAUUGUCAACAAACUUGGCACAUGCAUCGACGUCCUCAAGCAAGUCAGCUUUCAGCAGCGCAUAAAAUUCAGGAAACUCUCUAGCUUCAGACUCGGUGGAUUUCUCACAACUGCACGUGUAAGCAGAUUUCCCCUUCU
rnacentral:lncRNA from 1 species